ACUAACCAUAAAACUCCAGCCCUCCUGGGAAAAGAGAAACGCAGAGAAAAGAGAGAAAGCUAAACCCCGCGAGGAAGAAGAAGGGAAGGAGAGGGAGAAGAGCGCGCCGGCGUCGCGCCUCGCCGACGUAGAGCCCAUCACACGCGUCGCCGCUGUCAUGUCAUCGUCAAUCUGAACCGUGCGAGGGAGAGAGCUGCUGCUGCGGGAAACGCGAUGGUGGAGAGGACGCCGCCAGCUCUGUCGCGCCUGAUCGCUGUCGAGCUCGCCUUCGAAGACGCCAUCGCCGUCACUGUCAAACCUAGCCGUCGCCGUCGCCGUCGACGCUGUGGCAAAGAAGGAAGAAGGAUGCGCGAACAGAAGAGGGAGAAGGAAGCUGCGAAGCCGUCGCCGUUUCUGCUCGGGGUUGUCACCGCUUCUGAAGAAGACGCGUCCGAGAGAGAGAGAGAGAGAACCAGGGGAGUGACGCGCGAAGGAUGCUCUGACGGAGAAGGAGGAGAACGAGGCUGUCUCAUCGCCAAUGAUUAGAAGUUGCUACUGUUGAUGGGAUGAACAGAACGUGAAGAGGGAGGAGAAACUCGCAGAGGAGAGGGAGGUUUUGCCGCCGCACCGCUGGUCGCCGGGGAACACCGCCAUUGACGCCGGAAAAUACCACUAUUGGAGCCACUGUCCUUGCUCAGCCCCUGUUUCUGCUGCUGUUUACGCUGGUUCAGCCAUUGCCGCCACAACCCGUCUCGAAUUUCUUCUAAUUUGGACACUCAGAGGGUGCUGCUACUCUAAAUGAUUGGAAGAUGGUCAUCGCUGUUUGAAAAGAGCAAUGCAUUAGAAUUGCACUGUUUGCUUUGAGUUCCUACUCUGUCAUCUGCUGCUGUUCCGUACUCUCCUCUCCGUUUGCGUCCACUAUGCCAUCCCCCACCUCGUCCGCUGAGGUUCGGUUACGCAUGUAAAGUGGCUGGGAAAUCUGAGUUGAUUCUCUCAAUGGCCUAAAUGACUCAAGUAAAAUUGCUGCAUUUGAUUUUGAUGGCCUGAAUGACUCAAGUAAAAAUCUUAGAAUUCUGGAGAAGAUUGCCCAAAUAUUCAAAUAGGAUUUGAAGUUUGGUGGAGAAGAACUUUCUGGAAGCGGAAUGGAGAGUAAGAAUAGACAAGACAAUUACGAAUUACAGCUACAACAGUUGAUAAUCCUUGAAGACAGACAGUCCCAGCAUGGUGGAAUUGACAGCAUUCUACUGGUUACAUGGAAGAAAUAAGAGUUCAUGUGCUAUCAAUUUAAUUUAGUGCAUAAGAUUUCAUGUUUAACUGGCUAUCGCAAGUUGGGGUUGGUGGUCUAAAGUUUCUGCUGUGUGAGAGUCUAUACUAAGCAAAGCAACUGCUGAUGUUGACAAAGGGGUCCAUGAUGAGUCUGGUUUCUUUUAGGUAUGCUUGAAUAAGUGAAGAAAUGAAGAAAGGAAGAAUCAGGGAAGCGUUGCGUGCAAUUAGAGAAUGCCACGCUCAAAGAGCAAACAUGGCUAGCGUUCACUUCUAAAGUGAGCACCACGCUCACUCAGUUACCUUUUUCGUGGAUUUUGAGCUUGGGAGGCAAGCUUGUGCCGUCCGUACGCAAGGUGCAGCGCUCAAUGAGUGAGCGUAGCGCUCAGUAAGGGAGCGCCAAGGAAGGGAAUUGCGCACCAAAGAAGCACCAAAGAGCCAGCGCUCUAUGAGUGAGCGUAGUGCUCUCAUUAGGGGAGCGCUAAUGAAGAAAAAAGGCACACGAGGGAUGUACGCUGAAGGAAAGGAAUGUAGCGCUCACAAAGUGCACGGAGCGCUCUACUGGGAGCAAGCAUGCACCCUGACCCAAGCCACCAAGCACCUCAGAUCCACUUCUUCAAAAACCUAAAAAGUCCACUCUGAUUGCUCGAGGACUGAAAAUAGAAAGUGUAUAAAUAGGAUCAAAUUUGAUUUGAGGAGGGGCCUUUACCUCA